rnacentral:lncRNA from 1 species
CUUAUUUUUAUUUUUAUAUUUAUUUUCGUACAGCAUGUAUAGUCUAGUGCCAUCUCUUAUUUUAGUUUGUUAAUUAAGUCAAUCUUUGCAAAAAAUUAUAUUUUUCCAGCAGGGAUUUGUUUUAUGAAUGGAUGGUUGACGCAUCAGAAUACAAGGCAGGGAGAAUGAGAGGAAGGAGAUGUGUUCUGAAGCACUGUCAAACCUGAGUCUCCCAAGUAACUACCUGCUGAUUAGAUUUCUAAAUGUCCAGUAUAUCCUGAUCAGAAGAUUUUUUUUGACAGCUGAAGAUCCAUACAGGAGGAAAAAAGUGAAGUAAUAUCUCCUGGGAUAUACAGAAAUAGAUCCCAUCAAAUACUAAAAGGUAUAUUGCGAGCAGCUGUCAUACACUGAUAAAUGAGAAUUAGAUUUAGGUUUUUACAUUUCAGAUAUUUAGUUUUAAAUUAAAUUCCCCAGUAGUGUCUCCUCUGCCUUGUUAAUUUGCAUGAUUCUGUUGCUGAACAUUUUAAUUUUAUUACUGCCAUUUAGAAAGCAGUUGACUUUUAUAACAGCUGAUGCAACAACUUUCUGAUGAGAACACGCUGCAGUUCUGCAGCAAGGUGCUAAGAACAACAGUACAAUCCUUUGAAUACCAGUUUAAAAUAAAUAAAUAAAUAAACAAAAACA